AGAAGAAGCACCGGCUAACUCCGUGCCAGCAGCCGCGGUAAUACGGAGGGUGCGAGCGUUAAUCGGAAUUACUGGGCGUAAAGCGUACGCAGGCGGUUUGUUAAGCGAGAUGUGAAAGCCCCGGGCUCAACCUGGGAACUGCAUUUCAAACUGGCUAACUAGAGUGUGAUAGAGGGUGGUAGAAUUUCAGGUGUAGCGGUGAAAUGCGUAGAGAUCUGAAGGAAUACCGAUGGCGAAAGGCAGCCACCUGGGUCAACACUGACGCUCAUGUACGAAAGCGUGGGGAGCAAACGGGAUUAGAUACCCCGGUAGUCCACGCCGUAAACGAUGUCUACUAGAAGCUCGGAGCCUCGGUUCUGUUUUUCAAAGCUAACGCAUUAAGUAGACCGCCUGGGGAGUACGGCCGCAAGGUUAAAACUCAAAUGAAUUG
rnacentral:rRNA from 1 species